AACGAACGCUGGCGGCAGGCCUAACACAUGCAAGUCGAGCGCGCCCGCCGGGGUUAGCGGCGGUCGGGGGAGUAACGCGUGGGAACUUGCCCUUUUCUAAGGAAUCGCCUCGGGUAACUUAGAUUAAUACCGCUGACGCUCUUAGGGGGUAAGAUCUUCCGGUACAGGCUCGGCCCGGGUUGGAUUAGGUGGUUGGGGGGGUAAUAGCCUGCCAAGCCGACGUUCCAGGGCUGGUGGGGGAGGAUGACCCGCCACAAUGGGACUGAGACACGGCCCAGACGGCGACGGGAGGCAGCAGUAGGGAAUAUUAGGCACUGGGGGCAACCCUAGUCUAGCCAUGCCCCGUGUGUGAUGCUGGCCUUAGGAUUGUACAGCCCUUUCUGCUGAGGAGAUAAUGACGGUACCGGCAAAAGAAGCCCCGGCUAACUCCGUG
rnacentral:rRNA from 1 species